rnacentral:rRNA from 1 species
UACAGAGGGUGCAAGCGUUGUUCGGAAUUAUUGGGCGUAAAGGGAGUGUAGGCUGUUUGAUAAGUCUUCUGUGAAAUCUACGGGCUUAGCCUGUAAAGUGCAGAGGAAACUAUCAGGCUUGAGUGUCAGAGAGGAUAGGGGAAUACCCGGUGUAGAGGUGAAAUUCGUAGAGAUCGGGUGGAACACCAGUGGCGAAGGCGCCUAUCUGGCUGACAACUGACGCUGAGACUCGAAAGCAUGGGGAGCAAACAGG